AACAAACGCUGGCGGCGUGCCUAAUACAUGCAAGUCGAACGGGGAAAGCUUUCGGGUGAGUACUAGUGGCGCACGGGUGAGGAACGCGUGGAUAAUCUGCCUUAGAGUGGGGGAUAACUAGUCGAAAGAUUAGCUAAUACCGCAUAAGACCACAGGAGCUGCGGCUCUAGGGGUCAAAGGUUUUUCGCUCUAAGAUGAGUCCGCGUAAGAUUAGCUAGUUGGUGAGGUAACGGCUCACCAAGGCGACGAUCUUUAACUGGUCUGAGAGGAUGAACAGUCACACUGGAACUGAGACACGGUCCAGACUCCUACGGGGGGCAGCAGUAGGGAAUAUUGCACAAUGGAGGAAACUCUGAUGCAGCGACGCCGCGUGAGUGAUGAAGGCCUUCGGGUCGUAAAGCUCUGUCGCAGGGGAAUAACACAAUGAAUGUACCCUGUAAGAAAGGAUCGGCUAACUUCGUGCCAGCAGCCGCGGUAACAC
rnacentral:rRNA from 1 species